GGCAGCAGUGGGGAAUUUUCCGCAAUGGGCGAAAGCCUGACGGAGCAACGCCGCGUGAGUGAUGAAGGCCUUCGGGUCGUAAAGCUCUGUCAAGUGGGAAGAACCUGAUGUAUGCUAAUACCAUAGAUCACUGACGGUACCACUGAAGGAAGCACCGGCUAACUCCGUGCCAGCAGCCGCGGUAAUACGUAGGGAGCGAGCGUUGUUCGGAAUUAUUGGGCGUAAAGAGCGCGUAGGCGGCUUGGCAAGUCCGUUGUGAAAUCCCAUAGCUUAACUGUGGAACUGCGACGGAAACUGCCUCGCUAGAGUGCGGGAGAGGAGAGUGGAAUUCCCAGUGUAGAGGUGAAAUUCGUAGAUACUGGGAGGAACACCGGUGGCGAAGGCGGCUCUCUGGACCGCAACUGACGCUGAGGCGCGAAAGCUAGGGGAGCAAACGGGAUUAGAUACCCCGGUAGUCCUAGCCGUAAACGAUGGGCACUAGGUGUAGGGGGCAUCGACCCCUUCUGUGCCGUAGCUAACGCAUUAAGUGCCCCGCCUGGGGAGUACGGUCGCAAGACUAAAACUCAAAUGAAUUGACGG
rnacentral:rRNA from 1 species